UACCCUGAGUAAAGUGGCGCACGGGUGAGUAACACGUGACUAACCUACCUUUUAGUGGGGGAUAACCUAGGGAAACCUGGGCUAAUACCGCAUAAUACCUACGGGUCAAAGCAGCAAUGCGCUGAUUGAGGGGGUCGCGGCCGAUUAGCUAGUUGGCGGGGUAAUGGCCCACCAAGGCAGUGAUCGGUAUCCGGCCUGAGAGGGCGCACGGACACACUGGAACUGAAACACGGUCCAG
rnacentral:rRNA from 1 species